rnacentral:rRNA from 1 species
CGUGAGGUGGGCGGGACGGGGUGGAGUAACGCGUGGGUAACCCGCCUCAUACAGGGGGAUAACAGUUAGAAAUGACUGCUAAUACCGCAUAAGACCACAGUACCGCAUGGUACAGGGGUAAAAACUCCGGUGGUAUGAGAUGGACCCGCGUCUGAUUAGGUAGUUGGUGGGGUAACGGCCUACCAAGCCGACGAUCAGUAGCCGACCUGAGAGGGUGACCGGCCACAUUGGGACUGAGACACGGCCCAA